rnacentral:rRNA from 1 species
UACGUAGGCAGCGAGCGUUGUUCGGAGUUACUGGGCGUAAAGAGUGCGUAGGCGGUGUUCCAAGUCUGUUGUGAAAUCUCCCGGCUCAACUGGGAGGGUGCGGCGGAAACUGGGACGCUGGAGUACGGGAGAGGUAAGCGGAAUUCCUGGUGUAGCGGUGAAAUGCGUAGAUAUCUGGAGGAACACCGGUGGCGAAGGCGGCAUCCUGGACCGGCAUUGACGCUGAGGCGCGAAAGCCAGGGGAGCAAACGGG